rnacentral:rRNA from 1 species
UUGAACGCUGGCGGCAUGCCUUACACAUGCAAGUCGAACGGCAGCACGGGGGCAACCCUGGUGGCGAGUGGCGAACGGGUGAGUAAUACAUCGGAACGUGUCCUGUAGUGGGGGAUAGCCCGGCGAAAGCCGGAUUAAUACCGCAUACGCUCUACGGAGGAAAGGGGGGGAUCUUAGGACCUCCCGCUACAGGGGCGGCCGAUGGCAGAUUAGCUAGUUGGUGGGGUAAAGGCCUACCAAGGCGACGAUCUGUAGCUGGUCUGAGAGGACGACCAGCCACACUGGGACUGAGACACGGCCCAGACUCCUACGGGAGGCAGCAGUGGGGAAUUUUGGACAAUGGGCGAAAGCCUGAUCCAGCAAUGCCGCGUGUGUGAAGAAGGCCUUCGGGUUGUAAAGCACUUUUGUCCGGAAAGAAAACCUCCGCCCUAAUAUGGUGGGGGGAUGACGAACCCGGAAGAAUAAGUACC